UACGGGGGGGGCAAGCGUUGUUCGGAAUUACUGGGCGUAAAGGGCUCGUAGGUGGCCAACUAAGUCAUACGUGAAAUCCCUCGGCUUAACCGGGGAACUGCGUCUGAUACUGGAUGGCUUGAGUUCGGGAGAGGGAUGCGGAAUUCCAGGUGUAGCGGUGAAAUGCGUAGAUAUCUGGAGGAACACCGGUGGCGAAGGCGGCAUCCUGGACCGAUACUGACGCUGAGGCGCGAAGCCAGGGGAGCGAACGGG
rnacentral:rRNA from 1 species